ACAAAUGCCCUGCUUCCAGGAAAAGCCUCUAAGCAUCAGGUAACAUCAAAUCGUACCCCAAACCGACACAGGUGGUCAGGUAGAGAAUACCAAGGCGCUUGAGAGAACUCGGGUGAAGGAACUAGGCAAAAUGGUGCCGUAACUUCGGGAGAAGGCACGCUGAUAUGUAGGUGAAGCGACUUGCUCGUGGAGCUGAAAUCAGUCGAAGAUACCAGCUGGCUGCAACUGUUUAUUAAAAACACAGCACUGUGCAAACACGAAAGUGGACGUAUACGGUGUGACGCCUGCCCGGUGCCGGAAGGUUAAUUGAUGGGGUUAGCGGUAACGCGAAGCUCUUGAUCGAAGCCCCGGUAAACGGCGGCCGUAACUAUAACGGUCCUAAGGUAGCGAAAUUCCUUGUCGGGUAAGUUCCGACCUGCACGAAUGGCGUAAUGAUGGCCAGGCUGUCUCCACCCGAGACUCAGUGAAAUUGAACUCGCUGUGAAGAUGCAGUGUACCCGCGGCAAGACGGAAAGACCCCGUGAACCUUUACUAUAGCUUGACACUGAACAUUGAGCCUUGAUGUGUAGGAUAGGUGGGAGGCUUUGAAGUGUGGACGCCAGUCUGCAUGGAGCCGACCUUGAAAUACCACCCUUUAAUGUUUGAUGUUCUAACGUUGGCCCCUGAUCGGGGUUGCGGACAGUGUCUGGUGGGUAGUUUGACUGGGGCGGUCUCCUCCUAAAGAGUAACGGAGGAGCACGAAGGUUGGCUAAUCCUGGUCGGACAUCAGGAGGUUAGUGCAAUGGCAUAAGCCAGCUUGACUGCGAGCGUGACGGCGCGAGCAGGUGCGAAAGCAGGUCAUAGUGAUCCGGUGGUUCUGAAUGGAAGGGCCAUCGCUCAACGGAUAAAAGGUACUCCGGGGAUAACAGGCUGAUACCGCCCAAGAGUUCAUAUCGACGGCGGUGUUUGGCACCUCGAUGUCGGCUCAUCACAUCCUGGGGCUGAAGUAGGUCCCAAGGGUAUGGCUGUUCGCCAUUUAAAGUGGUACGCGAGCUGGGUUUAGAACGUCGUGAGACAGUUCGGUCCCUAUCUGCCGUGGGCGCUGGAGAACUGAGGGGGGCUGCUCCUAGUACGAGAGGACCGGAGUGGACGCAUCACUGGUGUUCGGGUUGUCAUGCCAAUGGCACUGCCCGGUAGCUAAAUGCGGAAGAGAUAAGUGCUGAAAGCAUCUAAGCACGAAACUUGCCCCGAGAUGAGUUCUCCCUGAGACUUUAAGUCUCCUGAAGGAACGUUGAAGACGACGACGUUGAUAGGCCGGGUGUGUAAGCGCAGCGAUGCGUUGAGCUAACCGGUACUAAUGAACCGUGAGGCUUAACCUU
rnacentral:rRNA from 1 species